rnacentral:rRNA from 1 species
CAAGUCGAACGGAUCCUUCGGGAUUAGUGGCGGACGGGUGAGUAACACGUGGGAACGUGCCCUUUGGUUCGGAACAACUCAGGGAAACUUGAGCUAAUACCGGAUAAGCCCUACGGGGGAAAGAUUUAUCGCCAUUGGAGCGGCCCGCGUCUGAUUAGCUAGUUGGUGAGGUAAAGGCUCACCAAGGCGACGAUCAGUAGCUGGUCUGAGAGGAUGAUCAGCCACAUUGGGACUGAGACACGGCCCAAACUCCUACGGGAGGCAGCAGUGGGGAAUCUUGCGCAAUGGGCGAAAGCCUGACGCAGCCAUGCCGCGUGAAUGAUGAAGGUCUUAGGAUUGUAAAAUUCUUUCAGCAGGGACGAUAAUGACGGUACCUGCAGAAGAAGCCCCGGCUAACUUCGUGCCAGCAGCCGCGGUAAUACGAAGGGGGCUAGCGUUGCUCGGAAUUACUGGGCGUAAAGGGCGCGUAGGCGGGUCGUUUAGUUAGAGGUGAAAGCCCAGGGCUCAACCCUGGAAUUGCCUUUAAUACUGGCGGCCUUGAGUAUGGCAGAGGUGUGUGGAACUCCGAGUGUAGAGGUGAAAUUCGUAGAUAUUCGGAAGAACACCAGUGGCGAAGGCGACACACUGGGCCAUUACUGACGCUGAGGCGCGAAAGCGUGGGGAGCAAACAGGAUUAGAUACCCUGGUAGUCCACGCUGUAAACGAUGAGUGCUAGUUGUCGGCAUGCAUGCAUGUCGGUGACGCAGCUAACGCAUUAAGCACUACGCCUGGGGAGUACGGUCGCAAGAUUAAAACUCAAAGGAAUUGACGGGGGGCCCGCACAAAGCGGUGGAGCAUGUGGUUUAAUUUCGAAGCAACGCGCAAA